rnacentral:rRNA from 1 species
AGAGUUUGAUCCUGGCUCAGGAUGAACGCUAGCGACAGGCCUAACACAUGCAAGUCGAGGGGCAGCACGGUGUAGCAAUACACGGGUGGCGACCGGCGCACGGGUGAGUAACGCGUAUGCAACCUGCCUACUACAAGGGGAUAACCCGUUGAAAGACGGACUAAUACCCUAUAACACAGGGAAUCCGCAUGGAUAUAUUUGUUAAAGAUUUAUCGGUAGUAGAUGGGCAUGCGUUCCAUUAGCUUGUUGGUGAGGUAACGGCUCACCAAGGCAACGAUGGAUAGGGGAACUGAGAGGUUGAUCCCCCACACUGGAACUGAGACACGGUCCAGACUCCUACGGGAGGCAGCAGUGAGGAAUAUUGGUCAAUGGACGAGAGUCUGAACCAGCCAAGUCGCGUGAAGGAAGACGGCCCUACGGGUUGUAAACUUCUUUUGUAAGGGAAUAAAUAGUCUUACGUGCUAAGACGUUGCAGGUACCUUACGAAUAAGGAUCGGCUAACUCCGUGCCAGCAGCCGCGGUAA